GUGACAGCUCUGGAUACUGAAGUCCUGUUUAUCCCCAGCAGAUACAGUGUAGGCAGCGGAAGUGCAGGCUUCUCUAUGUGGCCCUACCAAUAAGCUUCAGCUCUGUUCUAGAGGGACUGCUUGUCUGGGGAUAGGUCAUUCAGCCUCUUCUUGUCUUGGCUUCUCUGUU
rnacentral:sRNA from 1 species